rnacentral:rRNA from 1 species
UACGAAGGGGGCUAGCGUUGCUCGGAAUUACUGGGCGUAAAGGGCGCGUAGGCGGACAGUUUAGUCAGAGGUAAAAGCCCAGGGCUCAACCUUGGAACUGCCUUUGAUACUGGCUGUCUUGAGUUCGGGAGAGGUGAGUGGAAUGCCGAGUGUAGAGGUGAAAUUCGUAGAUAUUCGGCGGAACACCAGUGGCGAAGGCGACUCACUGGCCCGAUACUGACGCUGAGGCGCGAAAGCUGGGGGAGCGAACGGGG